rnacentral:rRNA from 1 species
AUUGAACGCUGGCGGCAGGCCUAACACAUGCAAGUCGAGCGAGCGGCGGACGGGUGAGUAAUGUAUGGGGACUGCCCGAUAGAGGGGGAUAACUACUGGAAACGGUGGCUAAUACCGCAUACUAUCGGAUAACCCAUAUGGGAUUAGCUAGUAGGUGGGGUAAAGGCUCACCUAGGCGACGAUCUCUAGCUGGUCUGAGAGGAUGAUUAGGCAAACUGGGGAUGGGGCAAGGCCCAGGCUCCUACGGAGGCAGGCGUGGGGAAUAUUGGAACAUGGGGGCAAAGCCUAUGCAGGCAAGGCGGGGGUAUGAAGAAGGGCCUAAGGGUGUAAAGUACUUUCAGCGGGGAGGCGUUACCCGCAGAAGAAGCACCGGCUAACUCCGUGCCAGCAGCCGCGGUAAUAC